GUAACUGUUCGAAAUGCUGACAUUUUAACCAUAGUGCUGUUGUUUAUAUUCAAAUUAAUAGCAUUGUGUUGGAAAUGUCGUCUUUUCGAACAAACUA